rnacentral:tRNA from 1 species
GAGGCCAUAGCUCAGUGGUAGAGCGCAUGCUUAGCAUGCAAGAGGUCCUGGGUUCAAUCCCCCAUACCUCCA